rnacentral:rRNA from 1 species
GAGUUUGAUCCUGGCUCAGAUUGAACGCUGGCGGCAUGCCUUACACAUGCAAGUCGAACGGCAGCACGGGAGCUUGCUCCUGGUGGCGAGUGGCGAACGGGUGAGUAAUGCAUCGGAACGUAUCCUGGAGUGGGGGAUAACGUAGCGAAAGUUACGCUAAUACCGCAUAUUCUGUGAGCAGGAAAGCGGGGGACCUUCGGGCCUCGCGCUCUUGGAGCGGCCGAUGUCGGAUUAGCUAGUUGGUGAGGUAAAGGCUCACCAAGGCGACGAUCCGUAGCAGGUCUGAGAGGAUGAUCUGCCCCACUGGAACUGAGACACGGUCCAGACUCCUACGGGAGGCAGCAGUGGGGAAUUUUGGACAAUGGGGGCAACCCUGAUCCAGCCAUGCCGCGUGAGUGAAGAAGGCC